CAAUUGGAGAGUUUGAUCCUGGCUCAGAGUGAACGCUGGCGGCGUGGUUUAGGCAUGCAAGUCGAACGAUACCGCAAGGUAUAGUGGCAAAAGGGUGCGUAACGCGUGAGCAAUCUACCUUUAAGUGGGGAAUAACCCUGGGAAACCGGGGCUAAAACCGCAUAUGACCACGGCUCGGAAUCGAGCUG
rnacentral:rRNA from 1 species